AUGAACGCUGGCGGCAGGCCUAACACAUGCAAGUCGAACGGUAACAGGAAGCAGCUUGCUGCUUUGCUGACGAGUGGCGGACGGGUGAGUAAUGUCUGGGAAACUGCCUGAUGGAGGGGGAUAACUACUGGAAACGGUAGCUAAUACCGCAUAACGUCGCAAGACCAAAGAGGGGGACCUUCGGGCCUCUUGCCAUCGGAUGUGCCCAGAUGGGAUUAGCUAGUAGGUGGGGUAAAGGCUCACCUAGGCGACGAUCCCUAGCUGGUCUGAGAGGAUGACCAGCCACACUGGAACUGAGACACGGUCCAGACUCCUACGGGAGGCAGCAGUGGGGAAUAUUGCACAAUGGGCGCAAGCCUGAUGCAGCCAUGCCGCGUGUAUGAAGAAGGCCUUCGGGUUGUAAAGUACUUU
rnacentral:rRNA from 1 species